CGCAGUUCUUUUUUUAAGUAUCUGCAGAUUAGCCACUUUGUUAAGAGUACAUUUGUUCAUUUUCCCGAUCUCCCAGUCGUCACAGUGUUGGACAAACUUACUCUCACCUUUGUGAAUAAAGGUCUAAUCUCUCUACUUUAUUCUCAGUUGAUGUCUCUUGGAGAUCAAAGCCUAAACAAAUUUAAAAGUAGGUGGGAGGAUGAGCUUGGUAUAGACCUGCCGGAGGAAUAUUGGGCAAAGGCAUUGAAAAGAGUCAAUUCUUCAUCGUCAUGUGCCAGACUGGGGCUUAUACAAUUUAAGGUUUUGCAUAGAGUUCAUUUAAGCAAGGCAAGGCUUGCCAGCAUAUACCCUGGGACGGACGCUAGCUGCGAUAAAUGUUCUUUUUCUCCAGCCAAUCUAGUGCAUUCUUUCUGGUCUUGUCCCCAACUUUCAGGUUACUGGGCAAUAUUUUUAAAACGCUAAGCGAGGCUCUUGGAGUGAUGCUGGAACCCUGUCCACUUAUAGCAAUAUUUGGUGUGGCUGAUGAAACUCUGGGUUUAAAUGCAAACCAGUCGGACAUCAUUGCAUUCACAUCACUUUUGGCCCGUAGGAGAAUUUUGUUAGUUUGGAAAUCUUCUACUUCCCCAUCAGCUUCGGUCUGGCUGGAAGAUGUAAUGUUUUUUCUAAAGCUGGAGAAGAUCAAAUUUACACUCAGAGGGUCUGUGGAAAGGUUCUAUUUCAAGUGGGGACCGUUUUUGUCGUAUUUUGAGAGUCUGAAAGAGUUGCCCACUGGGUGAGUGUCCCUAACUGUAACUGAGACCCUCCCCCCUCUCUAUCCUUUCCUAGCCGUUUAUUUAUUUAUUCUUCUUUCUAUUCAUUGCCUAUUUAUUUAUCUCCUUUUUUCCCUAUUGAUAUUAGAUCGCCUCACAGAAUGGUUGACACAUUGUAAAUAUUUACUAUAUUUGAGCCACUUAAUGUGUUAUGGACAUAUGAGGGCCUAUGUUUUGUAAGAAUAUUGAUGCAUAGCUGUGAAAAUGUACAUUCAUGACUGAGAAAUGUUUUUUGUUUUUAUGAACAUACUAACUGUCAAGAGGUGUAUGGGGAGGGUGGGUG
ensembl:lncRNA